rnacentral:lncRNA from 1 species
UACUAAGGUUGUCAGGCCCCUAUAAUAUGAUAACUAUAAUAUUUAUUAACCGAGGAUUUUGAACAUAUAAUAAUACGUUCUAGUCACACAUCUCCUACAGGUAUCUUAUCUCUUUGAAAGAGGUAAUGAAUUAUAAUGUAACUUCAGCGACUCAAACGGCGUAGUUAGUAGUAACUACGCAAUUUUAGCUGUAGUAGUUUCGACAAAAGACCCACAAGAACCGAAAAUUUUUAUUAGGACCGGACUGAUAUGACUGGAGUUUUUUAGACCGAUCCAACACUACUGAUGAUGCAUCGGAAAAUAUAUAUUUCAUUCCUAGUUCUCACAAAAUGUUGUCUCACUCGAAAAGAAAAGUUUUUAUAGAGCAAACGGGUUUUCAGCCAAUCAAGAAAUAAAAGCGAGAUUCCAUAUGUAUUGAAGGUGUACAUUAUACGACGGGCUCAAGAAUGGGUAAUUUAUUUUUUAGAAUUCUGCAUAUUAAAUGUAAUCUUUAACGUGAUAACCCUGACGAUUUGGAGAAUGUUUAGGAGGUGAGCAGCUUAGCUGUGACGACAUCUUAUUACCCAAAUGUUCAAUCCCACUCCGUGUCUAUCAAUGGUGUAUAGAUCGGAAUGGUUUCACUACGGUAUCAACCCAUUAUCUUACUUUUUGUUAAUAAAGGAUGAAAAGCUUGUCAAAUAUGGUGAAAAUGAUCAAGCGUGGAUUCCUAUGGAUCAACAAACCGCUGUUUAUCUAUUGGGUUCCAAGUCAUCGACAGCAUUAAUUAAUUUUCGUUGACAUCAUUAAUAUGCAAGAAUUGGAUUCAAUAUUAUGAAGAACACCAAAAAUCACUUCCAUUGUCAUCGUCAAGACCAACCAAAUUAUACAUACGUUAUUUUAAUUUAUCUUAAUUUCACAUAAUCACCAGAGUUUAUUAAAAACAUAAACGAACUUGUUUACUGAUUUAUUCAAAUAUAAAUUUUAUGUUAAUUUGAUAGUUUAUAAUCUUCCCUUGUGCAUUUUGAAAUAAAUAUUUAAAAUAU